GGAAAUGUGCCUGAACUAAAGGACUAUUUUGAUAGAAUAGAACAUAGGAAUAACACUUCCUCAUUUCCC
rnacentral:tRNA from 1 species